rnacentral:rRNA from 1 species
UCUUUCCUCCCGAGUGCUUGCACUCAAUUGGAAAGAGGAGUGGCGGACGGGUGAGUAACACGUGGGUAACCUACCCAUCAGAGGGGGAUAACACUUGGAAACAGGUGCUGAUACCGCAUAACAGUUUAUGCCGCAUGGCAUAAGAGUGAAAGGCGCUUUCGGGUGUCGCUGAUGGAUGGACCCGCGGUGCAUUAGCUAGUUGGUGAGGUAACGGCUCACCAAGGCCACGAUGCAUAGCCGACCUGAGAGGGUGAUCGGCCACACUGGGACUGAGACACGGCCCAGACUCCUACGGGAGGCAGCAGUAGGGAAUCUUCGGCAAUGGACGAAAGUCUGACCGAGCAACGCCGCGUGAGUGAAGAAGGUUUUCGGAUCGUAAAACUCUGUUGUUAGAGAA